UGCUAUCUCUUACCCAUGUCUUUUAAGUACCUUCGUUUCCUCGGCGGGUUCGCCCGCCGAUUGGACAAUUUAAACCAUUUGCAGUUGCAAUCAGCGUCUGAAAAAACUUAAUAGUUACAACUUUCAACAACGGAUCUCUUGGUUCUGGCAUCGAUGAAGAACGCAGCGAAAUGCGAUAAGUAGUGUGAAUUGCAGAAUUCAGUGAAUCAUCGAAUCUUUGAACGCACAUUGCGCCCCUUGGUAUUCCAUGGGGCAUGCCUGUUCGAGCGUCAUUUGUACCUUCAAGCUCUGCUUGGUGUUGGGUGUUUGUCUCGCCUCUGCGUGUAGACUCGCCUCAAAACAAUUGGCAGCCGGCGUAUUGAUUUCGGAGCGCAGUACAUCUCGCGCUUUGCACUCAUAACGACGACGUCCAAAAGUACAUUUUUACACUCUUGACCUCGGAUCAGGUAGGGAUACCCGCUGAACUUAAGCAUAUCAAU
rnacentral:rRNA from 1 species